rnacentral:rRNA from 1 species
AUACGGAGGGUGCAAGCGUUACUCGGAAUUACUGGGCGUAAAGCGCGCGUAGGCGGCUAUAUAAGUCAGAUGUGAAAUCCCUGGGCUCAACCUAGGAACUGCAUUUGAAACUGUAUGGCUAGAGUAUGGUAGAGGUGAGUGGAAUUUCAGGUGUAGCGGUGAAAUGCGUAGAGAUCUGAAGGAACAUCAGUGGCGAAGGCGACUCACUGGGCCAUUACUGACGCUGAGGUGCGAAAGCGUGGGUAGCAAACAGGAUUAGAAACCCUAGUAGUCC